UUGAACUGACUUUUAUUGCAUGGAGUAACAAGCCAACAUGAGAGGAGCGAUAUACGAUAUAAUACAUAUAGUAACCUGAAAAAUAGAGCGAUAACUUGCUAUAACAUAUUAAAAUCGCAAUCAUAAUACACGUGUACAACAUAACACGAUUUUAUUAAUUUUUAUAUCUUAUGACAUUGUAGGUGAUAUAGAAUGAUGUUGACCAUCUGGUCCUUGUGGAACCAACCUCAUGGUUCCUGCAUCUAACAACAUUGCUCUUCUUCUGUAAUACUCCAAUGUUGAUUCAUCGUAGCCAAAUUCGCGUAAACUUAGACCACGAGGCCUAACAAUUGGCCUCGUGGUCUCACAACAUCCCAAAAUCAUUGAUGUAACAACCAGCAUGUAUAGUAACCCUACAAGUUUUAUUUUGAUGUUGAAUGUUGACAUGAUAAGAGGACUAUAUGUGGAUGAAUAUGUGCAACAGAAAGUGAGAAUAAAAUCAAGAAAAGGAAGAGGAUUAUUG
rnacentral:lncRNA from 1 species